rnacentral:rRNA from 1 species
CAAUAGCGUAUAUUAAAGUUGUUGCAGUUAAAAAGCUCGUAGUUGGAUUUCUGGUCGGAAGCUCCUGUCCUCUGAUGAGCGUACAAGUGCGUCCUACCAUCCUUCUGUUAACCUUUAAGGCUUUCGCGGCUUUCUAGGGGCUCAGAUAUUUUACCUUGAGAAAAUUAGAGUGUUUCAGGCAGGCUAGCGCCGGAAUACAUUAGCAUGGAAUAAUGGAAUAGGACUUUUGCCUCUUCUGUUGGUCAUGAGGCUCGAGUAAUGAUUAAUAGGGAUAGUUGGGGGCACCUGUAUUGCGUUGUCAGAGGUGAAAUUCUUGGAUUUACGCAAGACAAACAGCUGCGAAAGCGUCUGCCAAGGAUGUUUUCAUUAA